rnacentral:rRNA from 1 species
UACGAAGGGGGCUAGCGUUGCUCGGAAUCACUGGGCGUAAAGCGCACGUAGGCGGAUUGUUAAGUCAGGGGUGAAAUCCUGGAGCUCAACUCCAGAACUGCCUUUGAUACUGGCGAUCUUGAGUCCGGGAGAGGUGAGUGGAACUGCGAGUGUAGAGGUGAAAUUCGUAGAUAUUCGCAAGAACACCAGUGGCGAAGGCGGACUCACUGGUCCGGUACUGACGCUGAGGUGCGAAAGCGUGGGGAGCAAACAGGG